GGCGAACGGGUGAGUAACACGUGGGUGAUCUGCCCUGCACUUCGGGAUAAGCCUGGGAAACUGGGUCUAAUACUGGAUGGGAGCCAUUUUAGUGUGAUGGUUGGAAAGUUUUUCGGUGUAGGAUGAGCUCGCGGCCUAUCAGCUUGUUGGUGGGGUAAUGGCCUACCAAGGCGGCGACGGGUAGCCGGCCUGAGAGGGUGGACGGCCACAUUGGGACUGAGAUACGGCCCAG
rnacentral:rRNA from 1 species